CACGGAGUUAGCCGAUGCUUUUUUCUUCGGAUACACGCAGUCCGGGACACGUCCCGGGUUUUGUUCUCCGACAAAAGAGGUUUACAACCCAUAGGGCCGUCUUCCCUCACGCGGCUUGGCUGGUUCAGGAUCUCUCCCAUUGACCAAUAUUCCUCACUGCUGCCUCCCGUAGGAGUCUGGUCCGUGUCUCAGUACCAGUGUGGGGGACCUUCCUCUCAGAACCCCUACGCAUCGUCGCCACGGUGGGCCGUUACCCCGCCGUCAAGCUAAUGCGCCGCAUGCCCAUCCUCUUCCGAUGAAUCUUUCCUCGAUCUCGGAUGCCCGAAACCGAUAUACGCGGGAUUAGCCUCCCUUUCGGAAGGUUGUCCCCCUGAAGAGGGCAGGUUGCAUACGUGUUACUCACCCGUGCGCCGGUCGCCGGCAAGGAAGCAAGCUUCCCUCCCGAUCGCCCCUCGACUUGCCAUGUGUUAAGCCUGCCGCUAGCCGUUCAUCCUGAGCCAGGAUCAAACUCU
rnacentral:rRNA from 1 species